UUUCCUCAACGUUACCACCCGGCUGGGCAGCCUACCCUCGGUCAGUACGUCCUGGCAAGAGCGCUUCGGGCGUGGCGUUCGUGUCGCGGGGGCCUCGGCUCAGAAGCGAGGGAAGAGCAGCCCUCAGAGGAGCGGCGACCGCGCUUACCGGGAGCCCGGGUUGGGAGAGGGCUCCCCAGGAGGGGUGUGAGCUCCGAACGAGAAAGAACGCCACCGCCUCGUGGGGUCUCUUCCUAAUGUGCAGAUUCCAAAUCUCUACAAUGCUGCAAAAGAGCAGCAACAGGUGUGCACCUUCCAAGCUUGCAACAGACCACAUUCAGAAGCUUGAUUUCUUGUUGUUCUGGGAAUAUCUGGAUCAGAGGUAACAUGGUUCACUAGGACUCCUCAGCUUCACCCAGUGUCCAUUUCACCUCCCCCGGCCUUCCAAUGUCUCUUCUUGCAGAUUUCUCCAAGCCACUCUCCCCGUCAUCUCCUCCACCCCCAGGACCCAACUCCUGCCCCUCCCACCCUAGCCCCUGUUCUCCCUGCCCACCUCCUACCCCACUGGAGUGGCCUUUCAUCAAACCUAAACCAAAGAAACCAACAGACCUUGCUGUCACCACUACUCCGGGACCUGGAAGUUAAAGCGAGGGAGAGACGGUGAAACACAGAAAGCAGAACGCCUUCUGUUCUUCCACAACACAGGGUUUGUGGACGUGGCCACUAUAAGAACUCGCACUGCGUGCUGAUUAUACUCCUCAGCACAAUUCAUUUCUUAAACUUUUUAGAAUAAUUUAAAAUUUACAAAAAGUUGCAAAAAUAAAAACCAGUAAAC
rnacentral:lncRNA from 1 species